rfam:Oryza meridionalis cultivar OR44 (W2112) chromosome 2, whole genome shotgun sequence.
AAUAAGUGCAAUUUUGCACUAUUCAUCUCCAACGUUUGGCCGUUCGUCUUAUUUAAAAAUAUUUUAUGAUUACUAUUUUUGUUGUUUUUAGAUGAUAAUAUACGAAUAGUACUUUAUGUGUGACUAUUAUUUUUUAAAAUUUUUCAUAAUUUUUUCAAAUAAGACGGACGGUCAAACGUUGGACACGGAUUUCACGGCUGCACUUAUU